rnacentral:piRNA from 1 species
UCGUAUUGCUGUACGUGGGUAAACGCA